GACGAACGCUGGCGGCGUGCUUAACACAUGCAAGUCGAACGGUGAAGCUCCAGCUUGCUGGAGUGGAUCAGUGGCGAACGGGUGAGUAACACGUGAGCAACCUGCCCCUGACUCUGGAAUAAGCGCUGGAAACGGCGUCUAAUACUGGAUACGAGAAGGGUCCGCAUGGGCACUUUCUGGAAAGUUUUGCGGUUGGGGAUGGGCUCGCGGCCUAUCAGCUUGUUGGUGGGGUAAUGGCUCACCAAGGCGACGACGGGUAGCCGGCCUGAGAGGGCGACCGGCCACACUGGGACUGAGACACGGCCCAGACUCCUACGGGAGGCAGCAGUGGGGAAUAUUGCACAAUGGGCGAAAGCCUGAUGCAGCGACGCCGCGUGAGGGAUGACGGCCUUCGGGUUGUAAACCUCUUUCAGCAGGGAAGAAGCGAAAGUGACGGUACCGGCAGAAGAAGCACCGGCUAACUACGUG
rnacentral:rRNA from 1 species